rfam:Eucalyptus grandis cultivar BRASTZ1 unplaced genomic scaffold scaffold_1, whole genome shotgun sequence.
AGGUGGACGGGAUAUUGGUGCGGUUCAAUAAGAAAGCCGCGUUUGAAGCGUCUAAAACCCUGCUUUUUUAUUGAGCCGUGCCAAUAUCGCGUGCCAUUGU